rnacentral:lncRNA from 1 species
UAUAGAAUGAAAGCUGCUUUCGUUCUUUUUCUUGUCCUAUACCUAGAAGAGCACUUGGUACAGAGUGCCUGGUUUGAACAUACUGAUGCUCUGAAAGAUGACUCCAGGAGAGUUUGAGGAGGCAAACACCGUCUACACAGUACUACAAGGUAAGUUUUAGAAAUUGUGCAGGUUUGGUGCCUAUGUCCCCAGAACCAGAAAUCGUAAUCACUGCAUGGCAGAAAGAACAAUCAGCUGGUAAUAGGGAGUUACUAAGCAGACAAAGACAAUAUUGCUAAGGACAGCCUUGUGACAAUAAUAACAGGAUCAGCCCCAGUAAUUAGGCAGUUUGUAGCAGUUGAUAGGAAAAGACAAAGAGUUAUCUGUGAUUAACCUACAUACCCAGGCACUUAGAUUGCCGAAGAAUCACAGAUGGCACAAAAAAAUGUGUAGAAGAGAUGAGUCCCAAAUUGUGUGCACUGAAAAUACAAGUUGAUGUAUUUUUCUAAAGGAAGGCCAUUUUAUACUAUUCUUAUACAAAAUCAUAAAGUUGUUUAGAAAAAAACACCAGAAAGAACAAAAGGAAAUGGAAGGAUAUGCAAUCAUAGUAAAGGGAAAAACAGAAAAGAGUGAUCAGAAGGACCUCUCCAGUCAACCUAUACAAAUACAAGCAAAAUGAUUCAGAAAUUGUUCCUGUCCUCAAGGGGUUUAUAGGUUAACGCAGGACACAUGCUCACGUGCGCAUACACACACACACACGUGCGCGUGCACAAAUG